CCUGCAGCGGGGGCUGGGAGGGGGCAGCCCGGGGAGGGAUUUUUCUCGUGGAGUUUCCUCCAACUCCAACGGGUUAUUCUGUUUUACCUGCAUCAGGGAAAGAAGAAUCGGAGCUUUUAAGGGCUCUGAGCUGCGCACCCAAACCUGUGGCUGAUGGUUCUGGUCUGCUCUUGCUGUUAGCUUACAGAGAGAAGAUCUCUGUAAGUGAAGGAAACUGAGGCAUGGAGAGAAAGGGAUAUUUCCUGAGGGCUUGCAUCAGCGGCCUGGUGUGGAUGGAGCAGCCGUCCGGGUGUUUCCCGGUGGACCUGAAGAGUGAUGCUGCGGCAGCUCCGCGCUGUCAUCCGUGAUGCAGAUGUGUCACCGUCCCCCGGGGUCCCCGUGCGGCAGCCAGUGCCAGCUCCUGCUGCCACCACCAUCUCUGAGUCUGCGAAGGAGGGAACCUGAGGCCGGAGCAUCUGUGCACACAGCAGGGAGCUGGCUGCUGGCCCCGAGAUGCGCUGAGCGGUCACAAACAGGGGACAGAAAUCCCUGCCUGGCCUGGAAGGAGCCCCUCGGGCUCAGGAGAGGUGGAUGUGGUGGAUGUGCUGUCUCUGCCUCCCACAUCCCUUUGUCACCAUGAAGCUGAAUGCUGGGAGCCUGGUGGUGCAGCCCUGCUGCAAAUCCUGCUUCUGCUUGGGUUCUUCUGGGAUUCAUGACAGCCUGGAGGGCUCAGGGUGGGUGCAAGGGAGGAAUCCAGGAGGCAGAAAGAGCUGGGAAAUGUGAGGGAAGAGAGCUGUGGGGGAGGAUAAGGACCUGAGCUGGGUAUCAAGGGAUGGAGCAGCUGCUGCUAGCAGUGUCUGUGCCCAAGCAAGCUGCUCCUCUCUCUUUUGUAGCCCUCCCUGAGCCCACUGAGCUGAAUCCCCCCCAUAUUUCUGCCCUCCUCCUUCCUCUGCCCCUGGGUGUGCCAAGGAUGUCCCCUGAGACCCCACUACUGCCUUUCCCCUGCAGCCUCCCUGCAAAAACACUUUCCUAAGAACUCUGGAAUAAAAAAAGAAAGAAGAAACAGCCCCCUUGUUCUGCUGUGACCAACUGGCUCUUUUUCCAGUCACAAGGGCGAGCUGAAGCAAAAGUUUCCAUGCUGAGCAGGAACAGAAAGAGAGAGGGAGAAGUAACAAACCCUCCACUAAAGAAAAAAAAAAAACAAAACAAAAAAAAAAAAGACAAAGGAAAAAAAAGGGCAGCAAAAUCAAGCAUUGCUUCCUUUCCCUCAUCUACUUCCUUUUUGGAACAAGGCAGGGUACUUGGAAAAGUGUGCUCUAAGCAGGCGCAGAUGCAUGUGCUGCUGAGCUGGAGAUCAGAGUUGUGCAAACGUUGGUUUAGUUCUGCUCGAGCAGUGGAGUGAGGGGCGUGGGGCGCCUCUGAAUUCGGGUGCUUUGAGGUUAUUGCCACGUCAGUGUGCAAGGCUUUCCUGGCUUGCUUGCUGCCGGGUCCAAAGAGGCAGAAAUGUGGUUUAAAAGCUGAUGGUCCCCAUGACAUCUCAGGAUGCUGGGCUUUGGAGAAAUAUUGAACAAGGAGAGAUGGGCACCAAGUGCUUCCUUUUGGGUUGUGCUUCUGGGAGGUCAGCUUGGAACCACCAACAGAGCUCAGGUCCAAUGUUUUGCCGGCAGCAGUGUUGUUGCUUUGGGGGUCUGGAUGCACAUUGGAAGUGACAGUCCCUGUCCCACGGUGCUUCCUCUCUCUGCACCAUCAGAGUGAUGAGACAUUCUUGCUCUGGGGCAGCUAUGAAUAGCACUGGGAUUUUCAACCUGCAGAUUUUCAGGACAGAACCUCUAUCCAGGAAUCCUCACUGCAGCCUUCUGUAGGGCAGUGUGGGGCGGUGCUGGUGGCCUGCUAACAGCAUCCCUUCCUCCACCACUCAGCUGUGUGUCGUCUGCAAGCAUGCUGGGGGUGCACUCAGUUCCACAGUCAUCAUUGACAAAGAUGUUGAAGAUCACUGGCCUCAGCAUUUUGGUUUCUCCAAAAUCUCCCCUUGAGGUUCCUCCCUUGGUCCCCUCCUGCUAAAUGGUUCAUCCUGAACGCCCUCCUUAAUGCCCCUGAUAGUCACGCUGGCAUAAAUGCCUUUUGGACAGAACGCUGUCUCUCUGUACUCUGUACAGCCCUGAUGAGCUGCAUCCUUAAAAACUGAUCCAAGUGAUGUGACCUUUCCUCAGUCAUUCCCCACUGCCCCAGGAAUUUGGGAAUGAUGCACCUGUUUGUCUUUGCUGGGCCAUAAAGGAGAAGAGAAACAAAACAGCAAAAGAGAAAUAAAGCAGGGCAAGAGCAGCCGGCCCUCUCCUGGCUUGUUCUUAUGGGUGCCAGGGGCAGGAUGGCCCUGCCAGCAAUGGUAAUUCCCCACGGUGACAAUUCCCUGGCAAUUUCCUCCUUUCUCCUCCCUUUUCCCAGCAUCACUCUCACAUGCCAGCUCAGGCACGUCUCCGCAGCUCCAGGCAGAGAUGUGUGCCUGGCGCUGGUGUUGCACGGAGGUGAUGCUGCUCUGCUCUGCUCAGGCGGUCCCCUGCAACCACAGCCCCGCCAUUCCUCUUGGAGAAGCAAAUCCUGCUGGCUGUGACGCCGGCACAGGGGAGCAGCCACCCCGAGCGCCCUUCCCCAGCUCUCAGGAAGGGUGGAUGCUGUUUGAGGAGGCGAUGUGGGAACACUGCACCCCACAUCCCCUGGCUGUGACCCUCCCUUGGGGAAACGGCGCUUGCUGGGAGCCAACUUGCUGUCGUUUCUGGAAAGUGGAGCUUUGAGCAAACUAUUUAUAAAUGGAGUUUUCUUUAACUCCUGAAAUUGAGCCAUAACUUCAGACAAACAGGAAAAAAGAAAUGCAGGCAAAUAAACACAGGCAAAAAUAAAUAUAUUGGCAGCCUAAUUUUGCAAACAGUCCAGUGGUCUUGGGAAGGGUCCAGGUUUGGAAGCAUUGGCACUGGAGCUUGCCAAUGGCUUUUGGUGGCCUGCGGGGCUGCAGGGGUUUCUUUCUGCCUACUUUGCUCAAGGAUGAAUCCUCCAGAGUAUUUGCCCCCCAGGUUUUGGAGGAGCACAGACGGGACACAUCACCCAGCAUGUUUGCCUCCCAGAAUCUGCCAUCCCAAAAGCAGAGCUAGGGUGUGCAACCGUGAUGGGCUCCCCGUUGUUUGUCCCUCCACAGGACUGUGGAAGCCAGCAGUGCUUUGCUGUGCUGGGGCCACCGUUCCCUCCGCAGCACAGGACUGACAGCAGUGCUGUCAGCCCCCAGCAUAAAUCCUGCUGAUAUUUAAGCUCUGAGCCAUCUCUGCCCACCCACAAUUACCUCGGUGGGAAAUGCCAGGCACAGUGACCUUUCUCCAUGCGGGGGAUUUAUGGCCUUGCAUCGCCAGGGCUUUUACAGCCUGGUUUGUCGACACAGCCUCAAAUGCCACCAGGGAUGGGUGCCGCUCCAUACCCACAGAGCGUGGUGCUCCUGCAUCUGCAGGGCACGAGGCUCGUUGGAUGGCAGCACCUCACCCACUGCACUGUAAGCCCUGCCCAGCCUUGUCAGCACUGCGUGCCCCGCUCCCUGCACUCCCACCGGCAGCCCCAGCCCAUCUCAAACGCGUUCAUCCAUUUCUGCCACCGGAGAGAGCAGCUUCAGGAAGCAGGGCCAUAAAUUACUGGCAAUGAUUAGAAAUAAAAAUCAUUACUGUGA